rnacentral:lncRNA from 10 species
CCAGAAGUAUAAAAAUUGGAAAGAUUUUAAUAAAAUCAUCUUUCAAUCUUACUUAAAUAGGUCUAUGAAGUCUGCAUCUCUUCCUCUGGAAAGUAACGUAAGGGCUGUGAAGAACAUUGUCCAUAAUGAAACUGAGAAGGGCUGUUCUCCCUGGGAACAGAAAGGUCACUGUCUUUGCUCAACAAACAGCCUAAAGCCAGGAACGCAGGCCUCCCCAGGCCUCUUGGCCGCCUCUCAAGCUUCCUCAAUAAAAAAUUCACAUGGAAGACAUUCUAGUCUAUCUUCUCUUCCUUCUUUCUUCCCUUUAGCUAAUAAUUAUUGAGUGCUGAUUAUGUUCUGGACACAGUUCUAGAAUUUCUGUGAUAAGAAACAGAGACCCCAGCAGUGAUUCUCUGCUGGGGCCGAUGGCUCUCAGGGACAUCCUUCAAAACAGGGCCCAUUUGGUUCUUUAAAAAAAAUAAUGUCCAGUUUCUCUAAAAAUUCUGUCAUGACUUUUAUUUCUUUGAUGUUAAGCUUUGUGUCUUAGGUUUCAGCGUGCUGACGUUCUCUGGGCCCUGAAGUCACUGCUGCUGGCUGGUGUGCUGGCCACUUGGUCGUGCUGGCCUGUCUCCCACCGGGUGGAUGCCCAGCGAGCUCUGGAUGCUGUGUAUGACAAAGACAUGGGGGUUGUUUGGAGUCUGUGAUGUGCUAUUGUCCUCCACAUAAUGGUUUUCUGCAAGAAACUAGAGAAGUAACUAUCUCAGAUUUCCCUAAUAAAAACAGGUUUUGAGCCAAUUCCAGGCUGGCCCUAAAUUCCUCUUCCUAGCACGUGAAGCCUGGGAAGCUCUCCGUGGGCCUUGCCCUCGCAGCUCUCACCCCUGGUCUCUGCUCCCCCAUUCCUGUCUGGCUAUUGGAAGCACCUCUCCAUUGCCCAGCCUCUCUGCUCAUUUACUGGAACUGGGCAAUGCCCCUUGGGAAAAGCAGCACAGGUUUUCUUCUCCUAGAUUUUGCCCUAUGCUUCUUUUCAGAGCUAUUUGGUCUCUGACAUUCUCUCUCAGGUUUUUCCAGCGCUCUUGGGAGGUGGGCUGUGCCACUGCCUGGCCCACCUGGCCCACCUGGCCCACCAUUACCUGAAGGGAAGCAUGAACAGCCUUUGACGUGGGAGUGGCGACUGCUGAGAGGGAACUGUCUGUACACAAGCAAUGUAGCCUUAUGGGACCUGAGUGGAGCCCCAACCCACGCAGGGCGUGUCUUCAUGGCUUUUCCUGGCCAAUCUGAUACCAAGAUGCAGUGGCCAGAAGUACCUGCACUUCCACUCCUGUCAAGGUGAGAUGCCACUUGCUCUCCACUGAUUCUCUAUCAGUGCUGAGCUCUGUUCUCUAGAGCUCACGGAUUCUAUAUUGUGUUAAGCUGUCACUUAAAAGUGCACAAAUUGUUUCAAUCAAUCCUAACAUAUUCACCCAUGUAAUUAACACCCUAUCAACAUAGAGAACACUUCGAAAAUCACAAGGCUCCCUGCGCCCCCUGGAAGUAGCUUCUAUUCUUGCCUACAUCUUAAUUGGUUUCGCCUGUUUUUGACCUUUAUUUCACUGGAAUCACGUAUGCCUUUUGUAUCCGGCUUCUUCCACUCAAGAUUGGGUCUGUGGAUUUACUCACACUGCUGUGUAUAGCAGGACUGCUCCCGCGGCAUGGCAGCAUCCGAUUGUGCAGACACCAAGGCUGAUGUAACCACUGCAGAUGUUCUGCAGGGGCGUCCCUGGGAUAGAGACUGGACAUGUAGCAAAGAGCUCCGUGAGCGUGAGCGAGGCAAGCCCUGAACCCACACUGUAUCACCUACUUAUAGGGCAGUGCAUAAAAAUCUGGGAAACACCUUGUUUCUCAAAGUAACAACGAAUAUGUCAGUGACUUCCCAGCCCAAGAAUAUGCUGCAUUCGUUCGCUGCUUAGUUAGUAAAAUGGCAACAAAAGAAGGCAGAACCACGCACAUUUGUCUCCUGCCAGGUCUGACUCGUUUGACUUUAGUAGAUAGUGGCCAACAGCUUCAUGGUAGCAGGCAUGCUCAGAAGCAGUUACUUUAUAUUCCGUCAACACUUGGUGAUGUUGGUCUUUUAAAUUCGGGUUUCAAUUUGCACCUACCCUGUGAUUAAUGAGGUUAAGCUUCUUUUCAUGUUUAACACCCAAAUUUUAAUAGACUUUAUUCUUUCGACCAGUUCAGGUUCACAGCAAAAUUGGGUGGAAGGUAGACAGUUUCCAUAAACCCCCAGCCCCUCCACACACACAGACUCCCCCACUAUCUACAUCCUCAUCGGAGUGGUCCAUUUGUUACAGCCGAUAGACGUACGUCAACACAUCAUUAUCACCUGGAGUCCAGUUUACAUGAGGCUUGCUCUUGGUGUUGGACAAAUGCAUAAUGACCUAUAUCCACCAAUUCAGUACCAUGCAGAAGAGUUUCACUGCCCUAAAAAUCCUGUGCCCUGCCCACUCAUUCCUCCCUCCCGUCACCCCUGGCUUUUUACUGUUUCCAGUUUUCCUUUACUGGAAUGUUGGAGAACUGGACUCCUUCAGGAUGUAGCCUUUCAUGCUUCUUUCAGCAACAUGCACCUAACUUUCCUCCCUGUCUUUGUGGCUUGAUAGCUCAUUUCUUUUUAGUGCCAAAUAACAUC